AGCGAACGCUGGCGGCAGGCCUAACACAUGCAAGUCGAACGAACCCUUCGGGGUUAGUGGCGGACGGGUGAGUAACACGUGGGAACGUGCCUUUAGGUUCGAAAUAACUCAGGGAAACUUGUGCUAAUACCGAAUGUGCCCUUCGGGGGAAAGAUUUAUCGCCUUUAGAGCGGCCCGCGUCUGAUUAGCUAGUUGGUGAGGUAAUGGCUCACCAAGGCUACGAUCAGUAGCUGGCCUGAGAGGAUGACCAGCCACAUUGGGACUGAGACACGGCCCAAACUCCUACGGGAGGCAGCAGUGGGGAAUCUUGCGCAAUGGGCGAAAGCCUGACGCAGCCAUGCCGCGUGGAUGAUGAAGGUCUUAGGAUUGUAAAAUCCUUCCACCGGUGAAGAUAAUGACUGUAGCCGGAGAAGAAGCCCCGGCUAACUUCGUGCCAGCAGCCGCGGUAAGAC
rnacentral:rRNA from 1 species